UACGAAGGGUGCUAGCGUUGUUCGGAAUCACUGGGCGUAAAGCGCGCGUAGGCGGCGUAACAAGUCAGAGGUGAAAGCCCAGGGCUCAACCCUGGAAUUGCCUUUGAAACUGUUAUGCUAGAGUGUCGGAGGGGAUAGCGGAAUUGCUAAUGUAGAGGUGAAAUUCGUAGAUAUUAGCAGGAACACCGGUGGCGAAGGCGGCUAUCUGGACGACAACUGACGCUGAGGCGCGAAAGCGUGGGGAGCAAACAGG
rnacentral:rRNA from 1 species